AAUCAACGCUGGCGGCGUGCCUCAGACAUGCAAGUCGAACGACUAAACUUUCCUUCGGGAAAGAUAUAAAGUGGCGCACGGGUGAGUAACACGUAAGUAAUCUACCUUCGAGUGGGGAAUAACGUCCGGAAACGGACGCUAAUACCGCAUAACGCAGCGGCACCUAAUGGUGACAGUUGUUAAAGGAGCAAUUCGCUUGAAGAGGAGCUUGCGGCAGAUUAGCUAGUUGGUAAGGUAAUGGCUUACCAAGGCUACGAUCUGUAUCCGGUCUAAGAGGACGGUCGGACACACUGACACUGAAUAACGGGUCAGACUCCUACGGGAGGCAGCAGUCGGGAAUUUUGGGCAAUGGGCGAAAGCCUGACCCAGCAACGCCGCGUGAAGGAUGAAGUAUUUCGGUAUGUAAACUUCGAAAGAAUGGGAAGAACUCAAUGACGGUACCAUUUAUAAGCUCCGGCUAACUACGUGCCAGCCGCCGCAGUAAAAC
rnacentral:rRNA from 1 species